AACGAACGCUGGCGGCGUGGAUAAGACAUGCAAGUCGGACGCUGAUUGCCGGGUAGCAAUAUUCGGCGAUCGGAGUGGCGAAAGGGUGCGUAACACGUGGGCAAUCUGCCGUGAAGUCGGGGAUAACUUGCUGAAAGGCGAGCUAAUACCGGAUGUGGUUUUGGGAGGGCAUCUUUCUGGAACCAAAGUUGGGGACCGCAAGGCCUGACGCUUCAUGAUGAGCCCGCGGCCUAUCAGCUAGUUGGUGAGGUAAUGGCUCACCAAGGCAAAGACGGGUAGCUGGUCUGAGAGGACGACCAGCCACACUGGAACUGAGACACGGUCCAGACACCUACGGGUGGCAGCAGUCGAGAAUUUUUCACAAUGGGCGAAAGCCUGAUGGAGCGACGCCGCGUGGGGGAUGAAUGGCUUCGGCCCGUAAACCCCUGUCAUUUGCGAACAAACCUUUCCACCCAACACGUGGAGAGCUGAUUGUAGCGAAAGAGGAAGGGACGGCUAA
rnacentral:rRNA from 1 species